CCGACGGUGAGAGGCGAAAGCUGGGGGCACGAACCGGAUUAGAUACCCGGGUAGUCCCAGCCGUAAACGAUGCUCGCUAGGUGUCUGGGAUGGUGCGACCGUUUCAGGUGCCGCAGGGAAGCCGUGAAGCAAGCCACCUGGGAAGUACGGCCGCAAGGCUGAAACUUAAAGGAAUUGGCGGGGGAGCACUACAACGGGUGGAGCCUGCGGUUUAAUUGGACUCAACGCCGGAAAACUCACCUGGGGC
rnacentral:rRNA from 1 species